CGUAGGGUGCAAGCGUUAAUCGGAAUUACUGGGCGUAAAGCGUGCGCAGGCGGUUCUAUAAGACAGAUGUGAAAUCCCCGGGCUCAACCUGGGAACUGCAUUUGUGACUGUAGAGCUGGAGUACGGCAGAGGGGGAUGGAAUUCCGCGUGUAGCAGUGAAAUGCGUAGAUAUGCGGAGGAACACCGAUGGCGAAGGCAAUCCCCUGGGCCUGUACUGACGCUCAUGCACGAAAGCGUGGAGAGCAAACAGGAUUAGAUACCCUGGUAGUCCACGCCCUAAACGAUGUCAACUGGUUGUUGGGAAGGUUCCUUCUCAGUAACGUAGCUAACGCGUGAAGUUGACCGCCUGGGGAGUACGGCCGCAAGGUUG
rnacentral:rRNA from 1 species